GACGAACCGUACAAACGUUAUUCGGAAUCACUGGGCUUAAAGGGUGCGUAGGCGGCGCGGAAAGUUGGAUGUGAAAGCCUCCAGCCCAACUGGAGAAUUGCGUCCAAAACUGCCGUGCUUGAGGGAGAUAGGGGUGAGCGGAACUCACGGUGGAGCGGUGAAAUGCGUUGAUAUCGUGAGGAACGCCGGUGGCGAAAGCGGCUCACUGGAUCUCUUCUGACGCUGAGGCACGAAAGCUAGGGGAGCAAACGGG
rnacentral:misc_RNA from 1 species